rnacentral:snoRNA from 1 species
CGGCGGCUAGAGUCACUAACGCGUCUCAACUAGUGGCGCGUCGGUGCUUGUGCUUGCCGACAAUGAAGUCAGCGGCGCCGGGGAAGCCUGUCGUUCGCCCGCACCAGCCGCCCGAUGCCAUGUCCUCACGGCCCCACUCGCGGCCGGGGCGUGCAGGGCGCCUGGAGCGUACAGCC